rnacentral:rRNA from 1 species
GAGAUGACGGUACCACUAGAGAAAGCUCCGGCUAACUUCCGUGCCAGCAGCCGCGGUAAUACGAGGGGAGCAAGCGUUAUUCGGAAUUACUGGGCGUAAAGGGCGUGUAGGCGGCAACUUAAGUCGUGUGUUAAAGACCGGUGCAUACCACCGGAGCGGCAUGCGAAACUGGGUUGCUAGAGUGUAAGAGAGAGGAGUGGAAUUCUUUGGAGUAGCGGUAGAAUGCGUAGAUCUCAAGAGGAACACCGAUGGCGAAGGCAGCUCCUUGGCUUACAACUGACGCUGAGACGCGAAAGCGUGGGGAGCAAACAGGAUUACAUACCCCUGGUAG